rnacentral:rRNA from 1 species
UACGUAGGGUGCAAGCGUUGUCCGGAAUUAUUGGGCGUAAAGAGCUCGUAGGCGGCUUGUCGCGUCGGCUGUGAAAACCCGGGGCUCAACCCCGGGCCUGCAGUCGGUACGGGCAGGCUAGAGUCCGGUAGGGGAGACUGGAAUUCCUGGUGUAGCGGUGAAAUGCGCAGAUAUCAGGAGGAACACCGGUGGCGAAGGCGGGUCUCUGGGCCGGAACUGACGCUAAGGAGCGAAAGCGUGGGGAGCGAACAGG